UCCGGUUGAUCCCGCCGGAGGCUACCGCUAUUGGAGUUCGAUUAAGCCAUGCGAGUCGCGAGUCUUAGGGACUCGGCGUACCGCUCAGUAACACGUGGGUAACCUGCCCUAUGCUGGGGGAUAACCUCGGGAAACUGAGAAUAAUACCCCAUAGUUCACCACGCCUGGAACGGUGGGUGGAUGAAAGCUCCGGCGGCAUAGGAUGGGCCUGCGGCGUAUCAGGUUGUAGGGGGUGUAAUGUACCCUCUAGCCAUCUACGCGUACGGGUGUUGGGAGACAUCGCCCGGAGAUGGAUUCUGAGACACGAAUCCAGACCCUACGGGGUGCAGCAGGCGCGAAAACUUGGCAAUGCGAGCAAUCGUGACCAGGGAACUCCAAGUGCAUCGGGUAAGACCGAUGCUUUUCUUGACUCUUCAAAGGUCUUGGAAUAAGGGGUGGGUAAGGACGGUGCCAGCCGCCGCGGUAAUACCGGCGCCUCAAGUGGUAGUCGCUUUUAUUGGGCCUAAAACGUCCGUAGCCGGUUUGGUACAUUCGUGGGUAAAUCAAGGCGCUCAACGUCUUGAAUUCUGCGAGCACGGCCAGACUUGGGACCGGGUGAGGUGUGGGGUACUCUCAGGGUAGGGGUAAAAUCCUGUCAUCCUGAGAGGACCACCUGUUGCGAAGGCGCCACACUAGAACGGAUCCGACGGUCAGGGACGAAGCCUAGGGGCACGAACCGGAUUAGAUACCCGGGUAGUCCUAGGUGUAAACGCUGUGGACUUGAUGUUGGGAGUGCUCCGAGCACCCUCAGUGUCGAAGCGAAGGUGAUAAGUCCACUGCCUGGGGAGUACGGUCGCAAGGCUGAAACUUAAAGGAAUUGGCGGGGGAGCACUGCAACCUGAGGAUUGUGCGGUUUAAUUGGAUUCAACGCCG
rnacentral:rRNA from 1 species